AGUUUGAGAUGAAAGAUUUGGGUGACAUGAUAAAUGCUGUACGAAAAUUUAAUGAGCAGGAUUUUGAUGUCAAGAAAGAGUUAUAUUCACGCGAUGCGAGCAGAAGAGUGAGAUUCAACAGCAGCCAUGAUCUUUUUCAAUCUCAAACAGCUGACUGGAGAGACACAUUUUCUGUUUCCAUGCUUAUUGACCCGGAGGAGUUGCCUGCCGUAUGCAGAGAUGAAACUGUUGAGUUCAUAGAUCAAAUUGGAAAAAUUGGUGACGCACUCUUCGAAUUACUGUCAGAAGCUCUUGGUCUGAAACCUGACCACCUGAAAUCUAUAGAGUGUAACAAGGGUCGAACUCUUGUAUGUCACUACUAUCCAGCAUGUCCUGAACCAGAAUUGGCCAUGGGAGUAACCAAGCAUACUGAUAACACAUUCCUGACAGUUCUUGUAGAAGAUGAGACAGGUGGUCUUCAAGUGCUUCACGAUAAUCAAUGGGUUGGUGUUCAACCUAUUCCAGGAGGCUUAGUAGCAAACAUUGGUGAUCUUCUCCAAAUUGUAUCAAAUGACAAGUUCAAGAGCAAUGUUCACAGAGUGGUUCCUAGCCGUGUUCCAAGAAUUUCAGUGAUAGGAUUUUUUGCAGGACGUGUUGCUCCACCAGCAAGGCUCUAUGGUCCAAUCAAAGAAUUGCUGUCGGAAGAAAAUCCACCCAAAUGUAAAGAGGUCCUAGUCAGUGAAUAUGUUGCAAGGUUCUUCAAUAAAAAAACUCCAAGAUAAGCCCAGCCUUGAAGAUUAUAGACUCUGAAGCUACCGAUAAUGGUAGGGUUAAAAACUCUACAGUGACACCAAGAACGCCCUGCAUUCG
rnacentral:misc_RNA from 1 species